CUAUAUGUGAUACAGCCAAGGAUGACUUGCCGGCUCACUUCCACUUAACAUAAAUCAUGCUCUCUAAAUAAGCAGCUAAAAGUUAGAUCACAAAGCUAAAACCUAUAUAUGUUGUCAUCAAUUAAUUUAUAAUAAAUGUUAAUUGAUCGGCAAGUCAUCUGUGGCUAUAUCAUUGUCUCA
rfam:Gossypium arboreum cultivar AKA8401 contig_33437_1, whole genome shotgun sequence.